CCAAAAUUAAAAAAAAAAAAGGCAAAAUGAAUAAGGCGUGAUUGAAUAGUUCAACAAAGUACAAGGACUAUGUGCGCAAAAUUGACCAUUCAAGGUCAAAAGCGCGGAUCCGGGUCGCAAAAUGGGUUAGUGCCCGGAUCCACUUCCCCAUGACCGGCGCCGUUUAGUGUUCUGCAUAAAACAAGUUAAAAAAAACCUAAAACUAACAUUUAUUACUUAAAAACAAAUCAAAACAAAAAAACUAAAGCUUAUUCCCCUUCUUCAUUCGGUCGAUCCCCAAGAAAAACACUCCUGCCCAUUUUGCCUUCAUAUUUAGCUGACCGAUGCUACACACCAUAUCAGCGAUCUACAUGCUUGCCGUUCGACUACUUUUCUGCCUCAGAUUCCCUCUAUGCUUUGAUUUCGACAAAGCAGAAGGAAUCCACGGCAUUUGGUACAAAGGUCGUGGUGUUGCUGAUGCGGUGGAGCUAUUCGUAGGAGCUACAGUAGAGGCUUCCAGAAGCUUCAACCUGCUUGGGCCCUGUGAGCUUACCCCGUAGUCAAGUUGCUGGGGUUUGGAGGCUAUUGUGGCGCGAGGAAGGUUCAGAAACCCUUAGGGUUUCUGAAAGAAUUUAGAUAUCGGGCCCUUUUGGGUUAAUUUUACUUGGGCCAAAAGUUUAGGUUUGGGCCGUUAUUUUUGGGCCUUUGUACUUAGGCUAAUUGAUCUGGACUUAUUUAGGUUUUAAAUUAACCCAGGCUCUUUGGCGUUUAUUGGGCCAUAAAUGUAAAUGGACUGGGACUAUUAAGA